CUGUUUAAUGUUUAAUUAUAAAAAAACUUAAAAAAAAAACAUGAUUUAUUAAAUACCAACUACCAAGUAUCCAAGGCUACAAAUUACAAUCGUUAAAAAAGAAACAAAUUUAAACUUACCUGCAAAAACAUUAGGUAGGUAGGUAUUGACUAUUGCAAACUGCAGACUGCCCGCAAGCUGCCCGCCAUUUACGUAGGUACUCCACAAGUCCACGUUUACCAAAGUAGAUGAUUCUUAUUUAAAUUCUAGCAGAAUACUUUUUGAUUAUAAUGGAUACUUCUAAGACUACACCAGUUGUUGCUGCAGCAGCUGGCAUGAUUUUCAAAGCUCCUAAAAGAGUUGGCCGUGGUGUCCCAGGAAUAAUGGAUACUUAUAACAAGAAGUGUUCAUGUCGUCGUGAUAAAACAAUGGUAUUUUGUCGCGCUUGCGGCUUUUAUUGUCAUGGAAGAAUUCGUUUGAAGUGCGAACAACAUCCUCGAGUUACAUUCUUAUUAGACAUAACAGAAUGUCCCCGUUGUCACUCAUCAGUAUUUUUGGAUGAACUAAAUUGAUUAUUUAAAGCAGAACUGGAUUUUGAUGACUUCUUUAUGGCUGUGUAUACUACAUGACUUUGGUAUAUAAAAGAGUGUUAAUUUUAUUUAUAGGGUUAAGGUGAAACUAGUAAGUUCCUAAGUUAAUUAAAUUUACCAAAAAAUCUUAAAUUUUAUAAUUCUAGAAUGUUACCAUUGUCACUCAUCAGUAUAUUUUAUGGAUGCUGAUUAUUAAAGCAUAACUGUAUUCUAAUGACUAUUUUAUGGUGGUGUAUAAAAACUGACUGGGAUAUAUUGAAGGUUAAACUAGUAAAAGUUCCUAAGUAAGUUUAUAAAAAUUCUUAAAUUUUAUAACUCUGAUUGUACUUUUAUUUGUUUGAAGCUGGUAUAUGAUAUCAUAACUGAAGGAAACCAUUUUUUCUUUAGUUUCUAGUUUGCAAGUCUUGGUUUCUGUUGAGAAUUUAUUUUGUGAUAAGUAUUGGAAAAUUUAAAGAAGUUUUUAAUUUGUUUUUUAAGUGCCUAUAAAGUACUCUGGUAGUUACCUUUUUGUUUUGUUUCAAACUGAUAAAAGAUGGUUUUAUGAUUAAAACCUCACCUUUUAUUUUAAGUUUGUGUUAUCUAAUUUUUUAUGUUGAUACUGAUAGGUACUGUUUGUUACUUUUAUGGUUUGAUUUUAUUAGUUGAAUAAAUGCAACAGUAACA